UACGUAGGGCGCAAGCGUUGUCCGGAAUUAUUGGGCGUAAAGAGCUCGUAGGCGGUUUGUCGCGUCUGCUGUGAAAACCUAAGGCUCAACCUUGGGCUUGCAGUGGGUACGGGCAGACUAGAGUGCGGUAGGGGUGACUGGAAUUCCUGGUGUAGCGGUGGAAUGCGCAGAUAUCAGGAGGAACACCGAUGGCGAAGGCAGGUCUCUGGGCUAUAACUGACGCUCAUGCACGAAAGCGUGGGGAGCAAACAGG
rnacentral:rRNA from 1 species